GCCGUGAGGUGAUUUGGCGGCAGCAGUGCGAGGGGGGCCUCGUCCGGGCUGCGGCUGCCACAUCUCGGUCUUCUCUCUGUAAUCUUACGCAGAAUAUGAUCCUCCAUUCGAAACAUUGUUUUUAUUACCUCCUCUGUGUUCUUCGACAACUUCUCGAAGGCACCCGUUUAAAAGGACGGACGCAUCCGCACCAGACAAAAGAGUGUUUUUUUCAUUCAGCAGGGAAAUGGCUGCAAAAAGGCAGCCCAGCUACUCUUGUAUCCCGAAUAUUUGUACCGUUUUUUGUGCUUCCUUCCACUUUCGUGGGUACUCAUACGGUUAGGAGAGUUCAUGAGAUCAUUUACUGGCUUCUUUUGUGGCCAUUCUCACACAACAUAUAGAACACCGUAAUACAAAUAGCCGCCACGCUACCAUCACAUCUCUCCCGUCACCCAUCCCUUCCAAACCCUGAACUAAAGCUAAAGAACGCCUCCUCAGCACCAAGUUUGGCCCUGGCAAUAGGCACUGCCAAACAGCAUUUGAUUGCUACUUCUGCAGUGACUUCUACAGCUUUUACACUAUGCCAACCAGUACCCCCACAGGGAAGCAUGCAAUUAUCAGGCAGCUUGGGUUUCUGGCAGAUGCUUUUCCCCGUACAGAAGCUGCCUGCAGCUCAUACUAGCUUUUAGAUUUGGUAUGUGGAAUUAGAAUUACACAUGUACACAUGGCAGAAUCUCCCAGGGAUUCUGGAUAUUUCUUGAUCUGACGAAGGUUCUAUGUGGGAUCUAUCUAGGACAAAUCUACCGCAUUCUGCUUUUCCAGGCCUUGAUAGUUAUUGGCAAGUAUAAGAUUCAUGGCGCACCUAAGCAUAAUUAGGAGCACAUUUUUAUCACUCUGUGAUAGGGCUGAAUAAAAAAGGCUUUCUGCAACCAGUGGAUGUGUGCCAGAAAAACCAACAGAGUCCGAGAUGAGAAGUAGUGACAAGUCUCCUGCCGAGAACCUGAAGAAUUCAUCCCUCACAUUUAUUUUUCCAAGAAUGGCAUCUUCUAUAGCAUAGACCUUAAGCAGGAUGCUGCCGCAGUUCAGCAGCAAUGCAUGUGUGCAGGUGUUAUCCUGGAGCUUCUUCCUCUAAUGAUCCUUCUCUGACCACACUCGCACCACUAUACCAGUAGUCCCUGCCUCUCCUUUUAUUCGCCUGCUUUUUUCAGUUAUAGGAUUUACUUGCAAAAAAAGAAACACAGAAUCUGUGAAGGUACCUGACUUAUCAUGGAGAUGGUUUAGACACACGAACACAGAUACUGGCCUCUAUGGGCUGGAGGUGGGCACUCCCCUGAUAGCUAAGAGGGAGUUCUCCAUACAUUUAAAAGACAGAGGCUGUGUCAUUUUGUUGGUGUGGUCAAAAUAUUUUAGAAUCAUACAUGGUAUUACCUAUCCUGUACUCCUGCUUGAGGGUUAACCAAACAGUAAAAAGAGACAGCAGAGAAUGGAGAAGGAUAUAGCUUUGGUGAAAGGUUUAUUUUUCAAGCAAUGUUGGUUGGAUGGUAGCGGUCCUAUCUAGUAUUUUUAUAAUAUCAGCCACUGAAAUGUAAAUCAGCAUGGAAAUUAGUACUGCAGUGAUAUGCAAAAUAAGCUAAUUCUGAGCAAGCACCCAAAGGCUUUUUGAGACUCAUGGAAAGACAAAGAUACAAGAACCAGAAGGUGAGCAGCAAAAGCAAAAAGGGAGAUCUGAAAAGAAGCCAAAGCAAAGCUAGAAAUAAAUGACUCAAGGAAAGGCAUAAACAAGAUGGAGAUGCCACAGGACAUUGAAUAUGAUUAAUGUAUUAUGGCAAGAAAAAUGACAGAUCCAACAUUUUCGGUGGAGGGAAAAAAGGAAGCAUUAGGAAGAGGCAUUACGAAAAAGAAAAACAACUGAGCAGAGAUUACGAAUAAAUUACUUCAUUUUCGUGUUGUGAAAAUAAACUAAUUCCUUGGAGAUCUGCUAAAAGGAACGAAAUGUGCCAGACCUCACCAUUCUGGAAAGCAAAACAAAAUUUUUUAAAAACACAACAUUUUAGGGUGAAGAAGGGUAUCUUUUCCUGAAGUAAUUAUCCCAGAAUCCUCUCCCUUGAAUAACCUUUUAAGGCUGAACUAUUCUGACCACAAACAACAUACCUGAAAAAGAAUGCAUAGUAUAGGGCUUUGAUGGAUGGAAAAGGCUGAGGAAUAUUCCCUGAAGGAGCGAAGAAAAGCAGCACAACAGAAGAAGAUCUGACAGUGUGAGGAAGUGAAGAUACUGGCCUAAGUAGCAAAGUUCAGAAAAAGGGCAAAUAGAAACAGCUAUUCCUGAUGCCACAAUCAUUGAUUUCUUUAUUUAUUUUUCAUGAACACCAAGGAUACAAACAUAUACACAGCUGGCUCUCUCCUUCAAAAUCUGAAGUACUCCUAACAUAUGUGGACUUUACCAUUUUACUACUUGAUUCACACUUGUUUCAUGGAAAGGAAAACUUGUCAUACACAUGAAGGCCUGAGAAAUGCUGACUUGGACUUUUCAAACAUGUUUUUCUUCUUUCAUUCCCCCGCUGAUAAUAAAUAUCUGGAACAAUGAGUAUCAUCUUUCCUGCACUGAUGGAAAACUUCUCAUAUAGUCCAUGCACAGACAAGGAGCUUUUGAUGUGUUCCACCAAUAGGACAAGCUGACACAAAAGAUAUUUUUCCCCUUUUGCUUGAUGAGAGGUGAAGUUAAACAAACAUUAAAAACAAAACAACCAGAAACAAACAAAACCUCCCAUUUAAAACCCUGAGGCAAGGUGUCACCUGU